UACGUAGGUGGCAAGCGUUGUCCGGAUUUACUGGGCGUAAAGAGCGCGCAGGCGGUCGAUUAAGUCGAGUGUGAAAGCCCCCGGCUCAACUGGGGAGGGUCACUUGAUACUGGUCGACUCGAAGGCAGGAGAGGGAAGUGGAAUUCCCGGUGUAGUGGUGAAAUGCGUAGAGAUCGGCAGGAACACCCAGGGGGAAACCAGUGGACUGGGCAGGAGCUGACGCUCAGGUGCGAAAGCGUGGGGAGCGAACCGG
rnacentral:rRNA from 1 species